UACGUAGGGUGCGAGCGUUGUUCGGAAUUACUGGGCGUAAAGCGCACGUAGGCGGAAUGUUAAGUCAGGGGUGAAAUCCCGGGGCUCAACCCCGGAACUGCCUUUGAUACUGGCAUUCUCGAGUCCGGAAGAGGUGAGUGGAAUUCCGAGUGUAGAGGUGAAAUUCGUAGAUAUUCGGAGGAACACCAGUGGCGAAGGCGGCUCACUGGUCCGGUACUGACGCUGAGGUGCGAAAGCGUGGGGAGCAAACAGG
rnacentral:rRNA from 1 species